rnacentral:lncRNA from 1 species
AAGUGUGAUUAAUCUUUGGCAGAGGCCAGAAACAGGAGUAGGCUUCUUGGCUGCCUGUCCUGAUAAACAAUCUGUUCUUGGGAAGAUUCCUAAUGUCCAGGGCGCGCCACUGGGCCACGGAAGGCUUAAAGGAGAAGAAGAGAGCAAAACCGGUGCGCGCCACACGGUUUCGGACCAUCUACAAAGCUGUGCUCUAGGCGCGACAGCCCAUCCCCCAGCGCGUGGGCGCAGAACCUGCUCUCGAUCAAGGGAAACCAAGGCAGUAGCAGAGAAUGCCGAGUUGGGGCGGCCGCUGUAGAGCUUAUUAUAAAGCAUAACGGGGGAAGCCAGACUGUGGGCAAAACAAAAGGAGAGACUAUUUGGCGGAGUCGGAGGUCGCUGGGAUCGAAACUCCCGAGGCAAGAAAGCUGGCUGUGGAUUUUGCAGCGGGGAUAUUGUGUGAGCAACCAGGCAGAAAUUGGCAAUAUGUAAAAGUGGGAGGGGGGAGAGAGUGGGCGGAAAGGCAAAUCAGUGCCUAGAAGGCUGCGCACGGCUGGGAAAUGUCACCAAGGAGAGCGCAGUGGCACCGAAUAAAAGAUGAAUGAUAGACUACCUUUUGGAAAACGAAUAUAAAAAUAGUAUUGAAGGUGAGAAGUCCGCCUCUUCGCUGAAAAGCGGAUCCAUUCCGCACUGCUUGCCUUCAAGCCCCGACAUCCAGGCAGCUCUAAUCUCCCUUGUAUCCAAGAAGUCAGGGCCAGGCUCGCUUUCCUUCGGGUUUAAUUACACGAAAAUGCUGAACAAAAACCCUGUAAUUACACCCUUAGUCCCCGCCACUCAGGCCCUGCGCACUUCCUGCCUAGUUUUGUUUUUUUGAUUUUUGUUUUGUUUUGGUUUUUUGUUCUCUCUUUUUUUAAUUUUUUUAAAAAGAGGGGUCAUUGCCUCUUUCUUUGCAAAUUGGCCAAAACAAAAAAACCUAAAGGCACUAAAUAAAUCUUUAACACUUUAA